CAAACUUUCCUGAUUAGUCUAUAAGGUGCAAAUCUACCCUGCCUUCUACUGGACUUCAGAUUAACACUGCUAAUUACUUCAUUCUGCUGUUGGCCAGAAACUCAGUUGUGUAAAGACCAGCAGGUUCAUGAGAAAUGGACCAAAAGAUGUGUUUUUGUUAUUAUGACUACAGCCCCUGAUAAACCAAUUUUAUACAUCCUGCAGACCUCAUUAAAUCCUAGUAAAAUGGUAUCAGCCAAGUAUGAAUUAGUCAAGAUAAACUAAAAGAAAUUUAAAAACCACAGUGAUUUGCAUAUACUGGAAGACUCACUCAUAUACAGUAUAAAGUCACUGAAGCAAAUCCUGGCAAAUGCACAUUCAUGGUAACAUUAGGCCUGGUUGUUUCUGAGUGUGCACUGCAAUAUUCUAGCAAAGGCUAUGGAGAGAGUACUCAAGAAAAAUAAAAUUCCUAGUAAUCUAGAGCAAGAAAUAGGCCUUUCAUUUUUAGCAUGUACCUUUCUCCCAUACUUUUUUUUUUGUUGAAGAGUGAAAAUAUUACCUUACAAAAUACUGCCCCACAGUCUGGGGAAACAAGCAAAAUCAGCAAAAAAAGUCUUACCCAGGAAGAUGAUUGUAUAAAAAAAACUUCUUAAUACCUCUUUCAUUUGCUGAAAUCUAGACAAUAGCUCAGUGUUCGCUAAGAUACGUUAAUACUAGUUUUAAAACCCCCCAGGAAUUUGUUGCUAUGCAAACCUGCUUUUAACUGCUGCAAUAUCUUCUGUAUUUUUGGGAAGAAUAUUUUCAUUGUUAAAACUGGAAAGACCAAGUGGGAAUAGAACAAGUAGGAAAGUAGCCUUUACGUCCCAAUCGUGGAACAAAACCAGGAAGCAGAAGUUAGUAUGUUCUAGAAAAUCCUACUGAGUCCAAUGAAUUAUAAAAUGCUGUUUAGUUCUCCAUAUGCUUUUCAUGCUUUCCUCAAAUCCUUUGUUGCAUUCUAUAGUUUCAUUUGACUUCACAAAGCUAACACAUUGUCAAAGCGUAAGAGGUACCCUGCUUCCUGCUUAGAAAGCCAGUACACCAUUUUGAUCCCAAAAGUGAGUUAAAAUAUCAGACUUGCUAGUACCUGUUAGUGUUAAAAAUGAGUAAUAAGAAUCCCUGUGAACAAAUGCAUUGCUCCAGCACAGCAGUACCAGUUCUUUAAAUUGAAUAGUUCAGCUGCUUUAAUUUUUUACAAGCAUUAAAUUCAGUUAGACCAACACAUUAGUUUCACUUCUGUAAAUUACUAAUUGUUGACCAUCAGAAUUAAUCUUUUUAACAAUGAUACGGGUAUCUGAGCUAUAAACUCAAUUGUUAAUAUUUAGCACAGAUCAAAUUCUUGAGCAAUUUAUAAAUGAUUAAAAUAACAUUAUCAUAGAAAUGUUGGCAUGCUCUUCGACCUGCUGGUGCAAAUAUGUGACUAAAAAUGAAUCACACAAAAUCUACAGCCAGAAUUCAUGUAAAGGAUCUUAUUUUGCCAUCAUUUAUAUGGCACUUAAGGUUCAUAGAAAAUUUUGGCAUGUUACAAAAGUAUGUCAUAGGAGUUAUAUGAAAAAAUGUAUUGUGACCUUCCAAAAACAGCACACAGCUCAGAAGACUGGCAGGCAUGAGAGGGGCUGAAUUCCUAGAAAUGAGGUGGAGAGCGAGGUUUUCUUUAAAAGAAUCUCAACCCCACUAUUCUUAACAAUACAGUUCUUUACUAAAGGGGUCCAUUUCCAGAUUUCACUGCUGGAUGUUCAAGUUGAACUUAG